rnacentral:misc_RNA from 1 species
GAAAUGCGAUAAGUAAUGUGAAUUGCAGAAUUCAGUGAAUCAUCGAAUCUUUGAACGCACAUUGCGCCCGCCAGUAUUCUGGCGGGCAUGCCUGUCCGAGCGUCAUUUCAACCAUCAAGCCCCCGGGCUUGUGUAGGGGACCUGCGGCUGCCCGCAGGCCCUGAAAACCAGUGGCGGGCUCGCUGUCACACCGAGCGUAGUAGCAAUCACCUCGCUCAGGGCGUGCUGCGGGUUCCGGCCGUUAAACAGCCUUACAAAACCCAAGGUUGACCUCGGAUCAGGUAGGAAGACCCGCUGAACUUAAGC